rnacentral:rRNA from 1 species
GAUGAACGCUGGCGGCGUGCCUAAUACAUGCAAGUCGAGCGAACAGAUAAGGAGCUUGCUCCUUUGACGUUAGCGGCGGACGGGUGAGUAACACGUGGGUAACCUACCUAUAAGACUGGGAUAACUUCGGGAAACCGGAGCUAAUACCGGAUAACAUUUGGAACCGCAUGGUUCUAAAGUGAAAGAUGGUUUUGCUAUCACUUAUAGAUGGACCCGCGCCGUAUUAGCUAGUUGGUAAGGUAACGGCUUACCAAGGCGACGAUACGUAGCCGACCUGAGAGGGUGAUCGGCCACACUGGAACUGAGACACGGUCCAGACUCCUACGGGAGGCAGCAGUAGGGAAUCUUCCGCAAUGGGCGAAAGCCUGACGGAACAACGCCGCGUGAGUGAUGAAGGGUUUCGGCUCGUAAAACUCUGUUAUUAGGGAAGAACAAAUGUGUAAGUAACUGUGCACGUCUUGACGGUACCUAAUCAGAAAGCCACGGCUAACUACGUG